AUGCACGCUGGCGGCGUGCCUAAUACAUGCCAGUCGAGCGAACGGACGAGAAGCUUGCUUCUCUGAUGUUAGCGGCGGACGGGUGAGUAACACGUGGAUAACCUACCUAUAAGACUGGGAUAACUUCGGGAAACCGGAGCUAAUACCGGAUAAUAUUUUGAACCGCAUGGUUCAAAAGUGAAAGACGGUCUUGCUGUCACUUAUAGAUGGAUCCGCGCUGCAUUAGCUAGUUGGUAAGGUAACGGCUUACCAAGGCAACGAUGCAUAGCCGACCUGAGAGGGUGAUCGGCCACACUGGAACUGAGACACGGUCCAGACUCCUACGGGAGGCAGCAGUAGGGAAUCUUCCGCAAUGGGCGAAAGCCUGACGGAGCAACGCCGCGUGAGUGAUGAAGGUCUUCGGAUCGUAAAACUCUGUUAUUAGGGAAGAACAUAUGUGUAAGUAACUGUGCACAUCUUGACGGUACCUAAUCAGAAAGCCACGGCUAACUACGUG
rnacentral:rRNA from 1 species